UCCGUCCCUUUUGAUUAUAAAUAUAAUGUUUUGUCAAUUUUUCCUCGUUUAAAAUCAUUAUUCAAAAGGAAUUUAGACAAUCUUUCAUACCAUGCUCUGGGAGCUUGCUUUAGCCUUUAGAGAACCUUGACAAGCUUAUAGACAUGGUGUUUUAAGUUAUAGUAAUUUUCGUUCUCUUUCCCUCUCCCCUCCUUCUUAAGUCUCAGUUAUCACACAUCUCUCUCUCAUUUCACUGGCUCUCUGUCCUCAAUUCUCUCUCUCUCUCUAUCUCCAUCCCCUUAACGACGAAGGCAACCAUCGCCAUAACCACAACCACCGCCGCUCACAAAUUCUCUCACCACUUAAAUUAAAACAUUUCAGCUCUCUUCCUCUCACUGUGCGCUCUUUCUCUCUCUCUCUCUGAGUCUUGACUCCACAGCUAGUCCACACACUCUCUCUUUCUUCUCCCUCCUCAUUCACUGAUGGUCACGGUGGUGACGGUGGUCACGAGCAAUAACGAUGGUGUGGUUCGAUUUCUAGGGUUUUGAUUUGUGUUCAUGCGAUGGUGAGUUUUGAUUUGUAAUUAUUGGCGGUGGUGGAGAGUUGAUGAAAUUAUUGACGCUAAAACUCCAGCUUCGUGCCCCGAUCUCCAAGGUCAAAGAUCUUCGAAAGCAAAAGCAAUCAGAAGAGGAGUUUGGGAGGAAAUCAAAUGAAUUAGAAUCUGAAUUAGCUUCAUCAACAAAAGUACGCCAAAAAUUAGAAAGGAAGGUUUGAAUUUUUUUUGCACAUCAACUGUCGAUGAAAUUCCUUUGAGAGAUACUGGUUCUAUUUGGUUAAUUAUAGUUGUGAUAGGUAAGUUAUCUCCAGAAUGACAAUGCUUUACUGGAGAUGCCAUGUUAUGGGUUUAAUACAUUUAACUAUUUAAGUAGCACUUAGACACCUAAUAUUAUCGAACAUAACUUGGACGAAUUUUGAACAUAUAUAGCUUUUUCCAUAAGACAAUGAGUUCUGGAAGAAUCUACGAGUAAAUCAAUGUUUGAUAAGAGGUUGUCAUCCUUGUUUUAGUUCUUUAAAUGAAAAUCAUAUUACUUCCUGUAGUGGUCUGCCCAACAGAGACAAU